AGAUCCGAACGGGAAUCGCUAUAACAUUUUUUACAUACAGCUGAAAAAGAGGAAGAACUAUGUUAUAUAUACCUUGAUUGAAUGAUGCUUUUCGAGAAGAUGCAAUAAAUUGUGAACGAUUUACUGGCUAUAGAACUGACCGCCAAAUCACAACACACCAAUGACGAUAUUUGAACUCCGACCGUCUUUAAAAUUGAACUAAGGUACUCAACUUCACUUUACGAGGACGAUCGAGCUCGAAGAAGGUAUCACUUUGACGCCUGAAAAAAGUGGAAAUGAUAUCGGAUUUCGGCGAGACGUAGUUGGUUCUGGCUAUAUGGUGCCCCGAUUGCUGCCGGCUGCAUUGGUCCCAUAGCUGACAAUAAAUUUGGCCAGGAGUUGGUUUCCGUUCCCAUCUUGAUGUUGAAGAGUUCGAUGGUAGCAGUUAGCAUGGAUGCAAAGAAAUUUCAUG